CCAAGGCUAAAUACUCCUGACUGACCGAUAGUGAACCAGUACCGUGAGGGAAAGGCGAAAAGAACCCCGGCGAGGGGAGUGAAAAAGAACCUGAAACCGUGUACGUACAAGCAGUGGGAGCACCCUUUGGGGUGUGACUGCGUACCUUUUGUAUAAUGGGUCAGCGACUUAUAUUCUGUAGCAAGGUUAACCGAAUAGGGGAGCCGGAGGGAAACCGAGUCUUAAUUGGGCGUUAAGUUGCAGGGUAUAGACCCGAAACC
rnacentral:rRNA from 2 species